rnacentral:rRNA from 1 species
GGGAAGGCCCAGACAGCCAGGAUGUUGGCUUAGAAGCAGCCAUCAUUUAAAGAAAGCGUAAUAGCUCACUGGUCGAGUCGGCCUGCGCGGAAGAUGUAACGGGGCUAAACCAUGCACCGAAGCUGCGGCAGCGACGCUUAUGCGUUGUUGGGUAGGGGAGCGUUCUGUAAGCCUGCGAAGGUGUGCUGUGAGGCAUGCUGGAGGUAUCAGAAGUGCGAAUGCUGACAUAAGUAACGAUAAAGCGGGUGAAAAGCCCGCUCGCCGGAAGACCAAGGGUUCCUGUCCAACGUUAAUCGGGGCAGGGUGAGUCGACCCCUAAGGCGAGGCCGAAAGGCGUAGUCGAUGGGAAACAGGUUAAUAUUCCUGUACUUGGUGUUACUGCGAAGGGGGGACGGAGAAGGCUAUGUUGGCCGGGCGACGGUUGUCCCGGUUUAAGCGUGUAGGCUGGUUUUCCAGGCAAAUCCGGAAAAUCAAGGCUGAGGCGUGAUGACGAGGCACUACGGUGCUGAAGCAACAAAUGCCCUGCUUCCAGGAAAAGCCUCUAAGCAUCAGGUAACAUCAAAUCGUACCCCAAACCGACACAGGUGGUCAGGUAGAGAAUACCAAGGCGCUUGAGAGAACUCGGGUGAAGGAACUAGGCAAAAUGGUGCCGUAACUUCGGGAGAAGGCACGCUGAUAUGUAGGUGAAGUCCCUUGCGGAUGGAGCUGAAAUCAGUCGAAGAUACCAGCUGGCUGCAACUGUUUAUUAAAAACACAGCACUGUGCAAACACGAAAGUGGACGUAUACGGUGUGACGCCUGCCCGGUGCCGGAAGGUUAAUUGAUGGGGUCAGCGCAAGCGAAGCUCUUGAUCGAAGCCCCGGUAAACGGCGGCCGUAACUAUAACGGUCCUAAGGUAGCGAAAUUCCUUGUCGGGUAAGUUCCGACCUGCACGAAUGGCGUAAUGAUGGCCAGGCUGUCUCCACCCGAGACUCAGUGAAAUUGAACUCGCUGUGAAGAUGCAGUGUACCCGCGGCAAGACGGAAAGACCCCGUGAACCUUUACUAUAGCUUGACACUGAACAUUGAGCCUUGAUGUGUAGGAUAGGUGGGAGGCUUUGAAGUGUGGACGCCAGUCUGCAUGGAGCCGGCCUUGAAAUACCACCCUUUAAUGUUUGAUGUUCUAACGUGGACCCGUGAUCCGGGUUGCGGACAGUGUCUGGUGGGUAGUUUGACUGGGGCGGUCUCCUCCUAAAGAGUAACGGAGGAGCACGAAGGUUGGCUAAUCCUGGUCGGACAUCAGGAGGUUAGUGCAAUGGCAUAAGCCAGCUUGACUGCGAGCGUGACGGCGCGAGCAGGUGCGAAAGCAGGUCAUAGUGAUCCGGUGGUUCUGAAUGGAAGGGCCAUCGCUCAACGGAUAAAAGGUACUCCGGGGAUAACAGGCUGAUACCGCCCAAGAGUUCAUAUCGACGGCGGUGUUUGGCACCUCGAUGUCGGCUCAUCACAUCCUGGGGCUGAAGUAGGUCCCAAGGGUAUGGCUGUUCGCCAUUUAAAGUGGUACGCGAGCUGGGUUUAGAACGUCGUGAGACAGUUCGGUCCCUAUCUGCCGUGGGCGCUGGAGAACUGAGGGGGGCUGCUCCUAGUACGAGAGGACCGGAGUGGACGCAUCACUGGUGUUCGGGUUGUCAUGCCAAUGGCACUGCCCGGUAGCUAAAUGCGGAAGAGAUAAGUGCUGAAAGCAUCUAAGCACGAAACUUGCCCCGAGAUGAGUUCUCCCUGACCCUUUAAGGGUCCUGAAGGAACGUUGAAGACGACGACGUUGAUAGGCCGGGUGUGUAAGCGCAGCGAUGCGUUGAGCUAACCGGUACUAAUGAACCGUGAGGCUUAACCUU